rnacentral:lncRNA from 1 species
AUGGGGGGUGGGUGCCGGAGGGAGGAGUCGGGAGCGGAGUGGGCAGCAGGACAGAGCGCCUGGCGGCCAGGACCCCCUCCCCGCCCCGGGGCCGCGCUCCUCAGGGAGGAGAGAACCGGGGAAGCGCUGAGACCCCCAGCCCGCCCGACGGGGCGGGACCCGGUUGACUGUCCGAGCUGGAAGGGCGCAUCCCGGGGGUUGGGAACGGAAAUGUCCGACGGGGGUGAGGACGGCAACACCCCCAGAGACCGUCCAGCCCACGACAGGGGUCCCCGCCGGCCAGUGCUGCGCUCCCCCAUUCUGCGGGCCUCUGGGCGCGCCAGCCGGGCUGCGUCUGCCCAGGCGCUCCCGGAGCGUCCCUUCGGGGUCGGGCCCAGGGGCUCACCCGGCGCUCCGACUCCGGCUCCACGCUCCCCGCCGUUCUCUGCGCGCUCGGGUCGGGGUCGGCGACCGCUCGUCUCCGCGGCGCUGCCGGAUCGGGCUCGGCGCCGGCUCCGCGUCCUCGCCCCGCGCCAGCCGCGCGCAAACUUUCCGGCGGCGACGCUGGGCGGCGGUGGCCGCGGCGGGGGAGGCGGAGGGGCGGGGGCAGGAGCGGCCCCGCGGCCCGGGGGGGGGGGGGGGGGGGGGGGGGGGGGGGCGGAGGGCCCCCGCCCGCCCCUCGGCGCAGCGCCCCAGCCCCCCCCCGUCUUCCCGACGCGCCACGGGGAGCAACGGCGUGCGCCCCGACUGCUGGCCCGGGAGACCGUGCGCGCAGAUCCCUCUCCGCGGGCCCCCUUCUGGCAGACCUUUGUCCCGAAGACUCCUAACCCCCCGGCUCGCUAUGCAGACCACUGCCCGGUGGACCCCCUUCCCUCGGACCCCGGGCCGGCAGACGGCGGUCGCAGCGAGUGUGCAGCUCCCCGCGGGGAUAGGAGACGUGGACGGACAGGUGAGGGUGUGUGGAGGGCGCGGCCGGGGGUGGGCUGUGACUCGGCUCCCCUUCCUCUCGCUCCCUUUGCGUCCCUGGGUUCUCGCUGCUUCUUUCCGGGAGCCGCUCUGAUUUUCUGGAAGGACCGACCCCCCGACUUACCCCCACCCUCCCGUGAUACUUCCUGCCAGCGCCGCAGAGCAGGCUGGACUGGGACCUGGGUGGGGGCCAAGGUGCGCCACGAGGGCAGGCCGGGUGGGCAAGGCCUUCCAGUGGCUGAACCCAGGCCCGCGGAGAAGGGCAGCCCCGGGGGUGCCCCGUUAACCCCGUGUCACCUCCAUCAAGCCUCCUCCGGCACCACUCAUUUGACAGCCCUACUGACCCCCACUCCUGUCCCCCGCUGGCUGCCACCGCUGCGUCCCUGCCGCCAUUCCUCCACCCCUGGUUCUCUUGUGGAGAAGGAGGCUCUACUCCUUCCACCCUUUUUCCUUCCCAGACUGCUGCCCCCAGACUCACCCUCGUGGGAACUCCUCUCCUCCCCACCCGCCUCCCUCCAGAUCUAA